rnacentral:rRNA from 1 species
UACAGAGGGUGCGAGCGUUGUUCGGAAUUAUUGGGCGUAAAGGGCGCGUAGGCGGUGCGGUAAGUCACCUGUGAAAUCUCCUGGCUCAACUGGGAGCUUGCAGGCGAAACUGCCGUGCUGGAGUGUGGGAGAGGUGCGUGGAAUUCCUGGUGUAGCGGUGGAAUGCGCAGAUAUCAGGAGGAACACCUGUGGCGAAGGCGGUUCUCUGGGCCUGUACUGACGCUGAGGAGCGAAAGCGUGGGGAGCGAACAGG